AGGACAAUGUAAUGUAAUUUGAAAGGAAAUAAGAUUCUCUUUAGCCAAUUGAUAUCUGAAACUUAUGCUCUUAGAGCUGGGAACAUGAGGCAUAGCACUGGAGAUAGCUGUUAGAACAGAAUGAGAGUUAGAAAGAAUAGCUGUGACCCACAGCUCAGGAAGCUGGAAAAAUUUCUAAGGAACAGGAAAACUUAGAGCUUGCUACCCACUA
rnacentral:lncRNA from 1 species